rnacentral:lncRNA from 1 species
CCUGACAUGAAGUUGUUUCAAUAUUGGUGUUUAUCUGUACUUUCUAUUGACUCACAGCUCCUCCCAUUCCUACACCGUCACCACUCACCUCCAGACCCCAUGUCUCCACAACCCUCCCAAACCUCUCUACAACAUCCCCAUACACCUCCACAACCUUACCAAACCUCUCUACAACAUUUAUGGCAUCUGGAGACAUCAGUGCUGGUCCUUCACAGAGAACAGUUCUAGGUUUCCCAGUGGUCAUCAUGGUAUGUGUGAGUCUGGCUGUGUUGGUUGUGGGGCUCAUCUUGUUACUGAUCUACAAAUGGAGGAGAGACAGGACAUCCUCAAAGCCAGUCACCAAUCCAGACACAACAACCCAAGACUCCACCUACCAAACCCUCAACACAACAACCCAAGACUCCACCUACCAAACCCUCAACACAACAACCCAAGACUCCACCUACCAAACCCUCAACACAACAACCCAAGACUCCACCUACCAAACCCUCAACACAACAACCCAAGACUCCACCUACCAAACCCUCAACACAGCAACCCAAGACUCCACCUACCAAACCCUCAACACAACAACCCAAGACUCCACCUACCAAACCCUCAACACAACAACCCAAGACUCCACCUACCAAACCCUCAACACAACCGAUCCAAACUAAAAUGAUGACACCAUUAACUUCACACAGAGACAGGAUACUGUUAGUACAGUGUUAUUCUUUGUAACAUUUGUACUUUUGGAAAUCCAUUCUGCACCAUACUUUCUCAAUCAAUGGUAACAUAUGUGGAUUAAUAUAAUAAAAUAUAUUGAUGUAUACUUUAACUAUAAUGUCAUCAUCUCAACAUUGUGUUCCUCCUGAAAUAAACAUGGU